UUUACAAUUAUUUUCCCGCUUAUAUUCAGCUACAUUUUUUGCUUACAAGAUAUUGUUUAUUCAGGGGACUUUUGCAGAAAAAAGUGGAAGAGCCUCAGGGACACAUAUCUGAAGGAGAAGAGGAAGGAGAUGGACAAGAGGAGUGGGUCAGCAGCAGGGUCUGGGAAGAGGUGGAAGUACUCUCAGAUCUUGGGAUUCCUCGACCCCUUCGUCACCCCACGGGAGACUAGUGGUAACAUGGAGGGGGUCGAGGCCCGGAUCAGAGAGGACAACCACCUCGAGGACCAGGGACAGCCUGGAGAAACGGCGUGGGAGACAGAGACUGAGGAAAAUGAUCAGAGGGGGAAGAGGAUAUUUUGAGAUCCCUUGCCUCUUCUCCUGUCUCCCCAGUCCCUGGUCCCUCAGCCCCUGCUGCUGAACUCACAGGCCAACAGAGGAGGAGAGCCCGACGGCGGCCCCGUGAGCGGUCCCAGGAUGGUCCGUCGGAGGUGGA